AACGAACGCUGGCGGCGUGCUUAACACAUGCAGGUCUGCGAGAAAGGGGUAGCAAUAUCCUGAGUAAAGCGGCGCACGGGUGAGUAACGCGUAGGCAAUUUACCUUUAGGACGGGCAAAACUUCGCGAAAGCGGAGCUAAUUCCCGAUAAUGCAGCGGCACCGCAUGGUGAUGUUGUUAAAGGCCUUCGGGCGCCUAUAGAUGCGCCUGCGUCCCAUUAGGUAGUUGGCGGGGUAACGGCCCACCAAGCCGACGAUGGGUAGCUGGCCUGAGAGGAUGAUCAGCCACACUGGAACUGAGACACGGUCCAGACUCCUACGGGAGGCAGCAGUGAGGAAUAUUGCGCAAUGGCCGAAAGGCUGACGCAGCGACGCCGCGUGAAGGAUGAAGUCCGUUAGGACGUAAACUUCUUUUGCAGGGGAUGAACAGUCCGUUUGACGGAUUUGACCGUACCCUGCGAAUAAGGAUCGGCUGACUACGUGCCAGCCGCCGCGGUAA
rnacentral:rRNA from 1 species